rnacentral:rRNA from 1 species
GACGAACGCUGGCGGCGUGCUUAACACAUGCAAGUCGAACGGAAAGGCCCUGCUUGCAGGGUGCUCGAGUGGCGAACGGGUGAGUAACACGUGGGUGAUCUGCCCCUUAUUUUGGGAUAAGCCUGGGAAACUGGGUCUAAUACUGGAUAGGACCAUGCUGUAGGUGGUGUGGUGGAAAGAUUAGUUUCGGUAAGGGAUGAGCUCGCGGCCUAUCAGCUUGUUGGUGGGGUAAUGGCCUACCAAGGCGUCGACGGGUAGCCGGCCUGAGAGGGUGGACGGCCACAUUGGGACUGAGAUAUGGCCCAGACUCCUACGGGAGGCAGCAGUGGGGAAUAUUGCACAAUGGGCGCAAGCCUGAUGCAGCGACGCCGCGUGGGGGAUGACGGCCUUCGGGUUGUAAACUCCUUUCAGCCAUGACGAAGCCCUUGUGGUGACGGUAGUGGUAGAAGAAGCACCGGCUAACUACGUG